rnacentral:lncRNA from 1 species
UUUGCCAUCAUGAUUAAUGGGAUUUUCGGACUGGAUAAGAAGACAAACUGCACCUUUUCAUCUUCCGAAGAAUAUCCAUCGGAAUCCUUUACUUGCAGAGGACAUUCAAAUUUCCCAUCGCUUACUUCUGGCAAUUUGUACACAAGGUAAGUUGCAUAGUUUGUGUUUGGUGACAUCAUGUGGGAGUUGAUACGACAAUUGAUAUUUAAUUCACUGCCUGAUUUACAUUCGGCCGCUUUCUUGAAUCUGCAUCACUUACAUGUUGUAAAAAACACACCAAAACGAUAUGCAUCAAUCUUGUAAGAAGGGUACGUACAUCGAUUCAUGUAGAGAUAUCCAACGAAAGCUCGUGUCUUCGUUGUCUUCGUUGUCUUCUAGAACUACUCUUGCUGCCACCAUACAACAUUUGAUUCCAUCUUUAUUAAGAGAAAAGAACUGUACAUCAAUGAUUUCAACAAUAAGCGUUAACAACCCAGAAGAAUACAAUUUGUUAUCAAUAAAUAUUUCCUUUGUAAUUAGAAAUUAAGUAGGAUUAGUUAUAUAUGUACCAUUCGGCCUCUAUUCGUAAGGAUCCCAUUGAUGAAUAGCAUGUAGAUUUCCUUGUUAGUGAUGUUGUAUGGCACAUGAUCCUUUGCCGUUUUGAUUAUGUAUUGAUAGUCACGUGGUAGUUUUUGUUCCCAAUUUGUAUCUAUCAUCGUAUUAGAAUUGUCUACUGUUACUGGCUCUUCUUCUAUAGCCUGUAAAUGAAAAUUAAAUGGAUUAAUUCAAGGAGUCAUAAUCUCAUGGAGUAUUUAUGAUGAAAGGAUGUAUGAUUGAUGUUUACCAACUCCACAGGCAAGAACUGGAUGCCUUCAAUUAAGAUGCUAUCACGAACAUGAAUGCUAUCGAAUGAAACCUCAAGCUUUGCGGCUUUCUUAUGACUAAUGAAUUGGCACAGUUCAAUCAACAUCCAUCCAUUAUCUAUCUGCUCUGCAAGGUAAGAGACUGAAAAUUCACCUGCAUCUUUAAAUUUAUAUUGUAAACCCACAUAUAGUGGUUCAAAUAACAUCUCGGAUUUGACUGUAUGUGAAUCAUCAGAAUCAUGAUCAGAGUUAUGAUCAGAAUCGUCAGAAUUAUCCUCAUCAAAAUUUUUGAAGACAAGGUAUGCAGCGUAUGUGAUCCCCGGUGUCAAGAAAAUCGUCUCUAUAUCAACCUCUAUAUUCAUAUCCUCUGCUCUUUCAAUUUUU